rnacentral:rRNA from 2 species
CAAGUUGACCCCGGCCCUCGGGCCGGGAUGUUCACAACCCUUUGUUGUCCGACUCUGUUGCCUCCGGGGCGACCCUGCCUCCGGGCGGGGGCCCCGGGUGGACAUUUCAAACUCUUGCGUAACUUUGCAGUCUGAGUAAAUUUAAUUAAUAAAUUAAAACUUUCAACAACGGAUCUCUUGGUUCUGGCAUCGAUGAAGAACGCAGCGAAAUGCGAUAAGUAAUGUGAAUUGCAGAAUUCAGUGAAUCAUCGAAUCUUUGAACGCACAUUGCGCCCCCUGGUAUUCCGGGGGGCAUGCCUGUCCGAGCGUCAUUUCACCACUCAAGCCUCGCUUGGUAUUGGGCGACGCGGUCCGCCGCGCGCCUCAAAUCGACCGGCUGGGUCUUUCGUCCCCUCAGCGUUGUGGAAACUAUUCGCUAAAGGGUGCCGCGGGAGGCCACGCCGUGAAACAACCCCAUUUCUAAGGUUGACCUCGGAUCAGGUAGGGAUACCCGCUGA